GAGUCGCGCUCCUCUCCUCAGUCACUGUCCACGUCUCCCUCCGCCCGGCUUUUCAUCUUUAUUGUUGAAAGGACCGCAUCGACCCUUCCGGCCCUCCCGCCCCGGCCGCCCCCCGGGUGUCUGUGUCCGUGGGCGACGCGUGUGUGCAUACGAGGUCUCUGACUGAUGGCUCCCCCUCCCCGCCUGCAGGCUGUGCCCGCUUCUGCGCCUCUGGAUCUGAUCUGUUCAGCAGCUGAUUUUGUUCCUCAGAGUCCACGGUUGAGGACGAUCAUGGGAUAUUGUCUUUCUCUGACGCUGACUUGGCUUCCGCACGUUUUCACGGCGUUCGGGCUCCGAGGGAAGUGGCUGCGCCCUGUCCCGCUCCCAUUCCUUGCAGGUCAGCCGGGCGGCGGGUCAGCCUCCGGGCCUUGCAAGGGGACUCACCCUGCAGGACGAGAGCGCCGUGCACAGGAGAAGGGGCUGGACCAAAGUAUACUUGGGAUCUGCUCUGACCACCGGCUUCACCAGGUCCUCCGCCGACCACACCCCCCCACACACCCCUUCAUCACCACCACCAUCGCAGUGUAGAUUUGCCUCGUUCCUGGUGAUGUCUACUUUGUUGAAAGCAUUUCAUACAUAUCCAGCCAUCUCGCCAAUAAAAGUAACUUUUUACAUUUAAAUGAUGUACAAUAAAGAAAAUCUGUACAGGUCAGAGCUAGACAUCCCCUUGGCCAUGCUCUAGCCUGGGCAACUAUGGAGGUUAAAUGAGAUACAAUAUGUCAGCGUUAAUUUAAUUUUUCAGCUUUUAAAUGUUUUUAUUGAUUUGACAGAGAGAGAGGAAGGGAGAGGAAUAGAGAGAUGGAAACAUCCAUGAGAGAGAAACAUCAUCAAUUGGCUGCCUCCUGCACACCCAGAGUAAAUGUUCACAUUCAGAGUAACUAUAGUUGUUCUUUAAGAUGAAAAUGGUGUUCCAUGAAAAAAAGUGGCUAGUUUACUAGUAGCUCUCAACACAAACUAUCAUUGGAGUACUUUUCCUCGAGACAAUUCUUGCACUGUGAUAUGCAAUAGUGUUUCAUGCUUCUCAUUGCAUGACAUAAUAUUAACAUGAUGUCUUGUCAAGAGUUGAGAUUUAAUAAAAUUCAUAAAUUUUAUUGC